UACGGAGGAUGCAAGCGUUAUCCGGAAUGAUUGGGCGUAAAGCGUCCGCAGGUGGCGAUGUAAGUCUGCUGUUAAAGAGUCUAGCUCAACUAGAUAAGAGCAGUGGAAACUACAUAGCUAGAGUACGUUCGGGGCAGAGGGAAUUCCUGGUGGAGCGGUGAAAUGCGUAGAGAUCGGAAAGAACACCAACGGCGAAAGCACUCUGCUGGGCCGACACUGACACUGAGAGACGAAAGCUAGGGGAGCGAAUGGG
rnacentral:rRNA from 1 species